CCUACGGGUGGCAGCAGUGGGGAAUAUUGCACAAUGGGGGAAACCCUGAUGCAGCGACGCCGCGUGAGUGAAGACGUAAUUCGUUAUGUAAAGCUCUAUCAGCAGGGAAGAAAAUGACGGUACCUGAGUAAGAAGCCCCGGCUAACUACGUGCCAGCAGCCGCGGUGAUUCGUAGGGGGCAAGCGUUAUCCGGAUUUACUGGGUGUAAAGGGAGCGUAGGCGGCAGUACAAGGCUGGAGUGAAAGGCGGGGGCUCAACCCCCGGAGUGCUCUGGAAACUGUACGGCUGGAGUGCGGGAGAGGUAAGUGGAAUUCGUAGUGUAGCGGUGAAAUGCGUAGAUAUUAGGAAGAACACCAGUGGCGAAGGCGGAUUACUGGACUGUAACUGACGUUGAGGCUCGAAAGCGUGGGGAGCGAACAGGAUUAGAUACCCUAGUAGUC
rnacentral:rRNA from 1 species